rnacentral:rRNA from 1 species
UUUGAACUGAAGAGUUUGAUCAUGGCUCAGAUUGAACGCUGGCGGCAGGCCUAACACAUGCAAGUCGAGCGGUAGAGAGAAGCUUGCUUCUCUUGAGAGCGGCGGACGGGUGAGUAAAGCCUAGGAAUCUGCCUGGUAGUGGGGGAUAACGUUCGGAAACGGACGCUAAUACCGCAUACGUCCUACGGGAGAAAGCAGGGGACCUUCGGGCCUUGCGCUAUCAGAUGAGCCUAGGUCGGAUUAGCUAGUUGGUGAGGUAAUGGCUCACCAAGGCGACGAUCCGUAACUGGUCUGAGAGGAUGAUCAGUCACACUGGAACUGAGACACGGUCCAGACUCCUACGGGAGGCAGCAGUGGGGAAUAUUGGACAAUGGGCGAAAGCCUGAUCCAGCCAUGCCGCGUGUGUGAAGAAGGUCUUCGGAUUGUAAAGCACUUUAAGUUGGGAGGAAGGGCAUUAACCUAAUACGUUAGUGUUUUGACGUUACCGACAGAAUAAGCACCGGCUAACUCUGUGCCAGCAGCCGCGGUAAUACAGAGGGUGCAAGCGUUAAUCGGAAUUACUGGGCGUAAAGCGCGCGUAGGUGGUUUGUUAAGUUGGAUGUGAAAUCCCCGGGCUCAACCUGGGAACUGCAUUCAAAACUGACUGACUAGAGU